GAUGAACGCUGGCGGCGUGCCUAAUACAUGCAAGUCGAGCGAACGGACGAGAAGCUUGCUUCUCUGAUGUUAGCGGCGGACGGGUGAGUAACACGUGGAUAAUCUACCUAUAAGACUGGGAUAAUUUCGUGAAACCGGAGCUAAUACCGGAUAAUAUUUUGAACCGCAUGGUUCAAUAGUGAAAGAAGGUCUUGCUGUCACUUAUAGAUGGAUCCGCGCUGCAUUAGCUAGUUGGUAAGGUAACGGCUUACCAAGGCAACGAUGCAUAGCCGACCUGAGAGAGUGAUCGGCCCCACGGGAACUGAGACACGGUCCCGACUCCUUCGGGGGGCAGCAGUAGGGAAUCCUCCCCGAUGUGCGAAAGCCUGACGUAGCAACACCGCGUGAGUGAUGAAGUUCUUCGUGUCGUAAACCUCUGUUAUUAGGGACGAACAUAUGUGUAAGUAACUGUGCACAUCUUGACGGUACCUCGACAGAAAGCCCCGGCUAACUACUUG
rnacentral:rRNA from 1 species